rnacentral:rRNA from 1 species
CUUACCAGGUCCAGACACAGUUAGGAUUGACAGAUUGAGAGCUCUUUCUUGAUUCUGUGGGUGGUGGUGCAUGGCCGUUCUUAGUUGGUGGAGUGAUUUGUCUGGUUAAUUCCGAUAACGAACGAGACCUCAGUUUAUUAAUUAAAUAAAAAAAUAUAAGCAAUAUAAGGGUUAAAGAGAAAAGAAAAUUAUAUUUAUAUAAUUUUGUUUCUUUUUAAAACUUGUUUAUAUUUAUUUUUAUUUUCUUAAAAAGACACUUGGUGUUUAACCAAGGGAAGUUUGAGGCAAUAACAGGUCUGUGAUGCCCUUUAGAUGUUCUGGGCCGCACGCGCGCUACACUGAUAAAAUCAAUAAGUUACAUUUAAAAAACCUUAAUAGAAAUAUUUGGGUAAACUUUGAAAAUUUUAUCGUGCUGGGGAUUGACAAUUGUAAUUAUUUGUCAUCAACGAGGAAUUCCUAGUAAACGUAAGUCAUCAGCUUACGUUGAUUACGUCCCUGCCCUUUGUACACACCGCCCGUC